CCUACGGGUGGCAGCAGUGGGGAAUAUUGGGCAAUGGACGAAAGCCUGACCCAGCAACGCCGCGUGAAUGAUGAAGGGCUUCGGCUUGUAAAGUUCUAUUCGAAGGGACGAAGAAAGUGACGGUACCUGAGGAAUAAGCCUCGGCUAACUACGUGCCAGCAGCCGCGGUAAUACGUAGGGGGCAAGCGUUAUCCGGAAUUACUGGGUGUAAAGGGUGAGUAGGUGGUAUGGUAAGAUUGAUGUGAAAGUAUGGGGCUUAACCCGGGCAUUGCUAUCAAAACUAUCGGACUAGAGUGCAGGAGAGGCAAGCGGAAUUCCUAGGGUAGCGGUGGAAUGCGUAGAUAUUAGGAAGAACACCAGUGGCGAAGGCGGCUUUCUGGACUGAAACUGACGCUGAGGCACGAAAGCGUGGGGAGCGAACAGGAUUAGAUACCCGUGUAGUC
rnacentral:rRNA from 1 species